GCAAGUCGAACGAACUCUUUCGGGAGUGAGUUGCGGACGGGUGAUUAACGCGUGAGGAUCUGCCUACAGGACUGGGACAACAGCGGGAAACUGCUGCUAAAACCGGAUGUGUCGAGAGGUGAAAGAUUUAUAGCCUGUAGAUGAGCUCGCGUCUGAUUAGCUAGUUGGUGGUGUAAAGGACUACCAAGGCGACGAUCAGUAGCUGGUCUGAGAGGACGAUC
rnacentral:rRNA from 1 species